UACAGAGGGUGCGAGCGUUAAUCGGAAUUACUGGGCGUAAAGCGCGCGUAGGCGGCUUUGCAAGUCGGGUGUGAAAUCCCCAGGCUUAACCUGGGAACUGCAUUCGAGACUGCAUUGCUAGAGUAUGGGAGAGGGAGGUGGAAUUUCCGGUGUAGCGGUGAAAUGCGUAGAUAUCGGAAGGAACAUCAGUGGCGAAAGCGACUUCCUGGACCAAUACUGACGCUCAUGUGCGAAAGCGUGGGGGAGCAAACAGG
rnacentral:rRNA from 1 species